AAGGAAACAGCUUGUGGGCUGAGAAAUCUACACAGAAAGGAAGUCAGGUUUCUUGCUCUCAGAACACAUACAGGCUUGUGCAAUUUUAUAAACAAUGUGCUUUUUUUUUAGCAGUUUGGAAUUUAAGACAAAUGCAUCCUGAAAACUGUUUCCUUCUUUCCUUUCACUCUCAAGGGUAGAUCUUCCUUCUAGUGCAGACAAUCAGAAAAUAUUAUGAACCUUCACGGAAACUUGGAAAUAUCUGAUGAUGCUCUCAUAUGAUGGCUCAGAUGCUCACUCUCAGUCCAAACAAAAUAUCUUCUGGGGGAAAAAAAGACCACUGCUCUGCUAGGUCAUGGAUGACAGUAUGUGUUUCAACAUCUUUUGGGAGAAGGAAGGCGAAGAGCUCUGAAGGUAGCUUGCUGCAUACGCAAUCAUAUAUGCAGCUCAUGACCCUGGCCAAGUAAAAAUUGAAGUGUCAGUGAAACAAAAAUUCUAUGUUUCAACACUGAUGAUGAGAAGCUCCUUUCUCCAGUUGAAAUAGAAUGGCCUGGAUGACUGGAUUCUACUCAUUCUGUAAUAUUACAUCUGAAUCUCUUCUGCAUCAUGAAGUGAAGGUCAUACCAAGUGUCCAUCUAGCCCAUUGACCCCUGCUAGCAAUGUCCAUGCAAGGAACUAUUGAGGAAAGCAAGAAAAGGGCAAAUACACCAAGUCUCUGCAACCUCCCAACUUCUAGGACAAACAUGCUGAGUACCUCCUGUGGACUUUGAGAGCUGUUCCUCUGGAAAUCAGGUCACUGAUGUGAUGCUGGAAGGAGAAAGCACAAGGAAAAAGAAGAGCUCUGAUUUUCAAACACAAAUGUUUAUAUGGUUUGGGGAAGAUAAUAAAAUGAAUAAAUAAACCUGUUUUAAAAUGUCUUGUUUGGAACUAUGACUGAGCUCCAUAUUUCAGACUGAGUUCACAACUGAAAAAUGCCUGUGUGCACAAAAGCACCAGCAGGCAUCUAUUUUGUUGCAUAAGCAGAAUGCUUGCUUCUCCCCUCCAGCCAACUUGCUAGUAAAUCACUAAAAGCUUUCUCAGUGCAAGUCCAGCACUGGCUGGAGAGGUUCUGGCUCUCCUACCUAUCUCAGGUGCCUGUCACUGCCUCAAGCCAGAGGUUCCUGUCCUCUCAGCAGAGUACAGAGCAGUUGUUUAAUGGAAGCAAGCACUAAGUUAUUCAGUCUGAGUAGAGCAGCUAAUAUAUUUUAAAAAGCAUGUCCUUCACUAAAAUGAACCAGGUAGUGCACAUGGGAUCUCCUCAGAUGUGGGAUCUGACCAGGGUGGAGUUCUUCACCAGAGGUAAUAGGCAAUAAUUGUCUCUCUUAGUUUUUUUUAAAGCCUCUUUUUAACCCAGAUUAUUUUUUCUCUGUGGCACCCAAAAUUAAAUCACAGUGGCACAGAGAGUAGUUGGUACAAAUCCUAACUACUAAAGAACAUGAAAAAGGAAUGUUUUCCAAAACUUAUGAUAGUCAGUUUAUAAAGCAAACCUAUAAUGUAGGUCCCAUAUAUAGUACAAUAUAAUUGUACUAUGGUGUAUAAUAUAUAGUGCAAUAGACUUGCAUUCCAACAAUGCAUUUUCUUAUUAAGGAUUAUAAAUGUUGCAAAUGCAUUGCAGACUUUUAUUCCCUCACCAUCUGCUAAGACAGUGUUAAAGGUGGAAUUUCCAAAGGUACUUAAGUUCCUGAAGUGAGAAUUUCUGAUUUGUAAGGAUAUUAUAAUUAUAGAUAAAUUGUUCUGUCUAACAGACUUCAAUUAAAAAUUUAAUAAACAAAUGUAAACCAACCUAUAUUUUUGGGACCUAUAAUAUUUUUUAGCUUUUUUAUAUUCAGAAGGCAUUAAUAAAACUGUGGUGGUUUUUUAAAUGUUCAAUGCAACUUAGUGUAGACAUAUUACUGCAAAAUAAUCCCAGUAAUUUCUGUUCUUUAUUAACUCUCAGAUACCACUCAGUGUCAAUGAGAAUCAAGUAUUCAGAUUUCUCCAACACCUCUAAAUUCUGCAGUAAAUAUUUAAAUUCUGUGACUACUUUUGUGCAUCAAGACCCCUUAAUUGGAAUUAGAACAAUUGCUAUCAAGAAAAAAAAUAUUGGGGGAAAAAAAAAAAAAAGAGACUGAGUAAAUGUGUUGGUUUGGGUCUCCCUGAAGGACAGAACAAGUCUAAUAAUUUCAUUGCCAAUAGAUGCCAUUAGGCAUCACACAUCCUUGUGAAUUGGUUUUUUAUUGAUUAAAAGAAAAAAACAACACACGCUCUCCCCUCCACCCCACAACAAACACACAAAAAAAACCCCAAAACAGGCAAAAGAGCUUUUUUAAUGCCAAUUGUUGGCAAAUAUGAAAUAUUUAGGAUUUGGAAUAAAAGCUCAAGUGGGUAAAACUGCUUCUGAGUGUCUGAUCUGCAUCCUAGUCCUGUCAGGUGAGUUUGAAACAAAUUCCAUUAAAUAAGGGAUAACUGGAAGAGUAACCCUUACAUUUCUAUCACCUACCAUAUAGCAUCUUCCGUAGCCAUUUUUUCCUAGGCUAAUAAAAACAGUGUGGAGAUGUCUUGUAGAAGUUGCUUGCAAAGAUCUUUAAACAACAUUAUGAGAACUAGGAAACAUGUUUGUGACAAAAGAGGAGUGAGAUAAGAUGAACACUGUCACACUGAAAAGCAAUUUAUAUUGCAAGAUUAAAUAAUCCAGCUGAAAUGUUCAAAAGCAACAAAUUUCAAAGCAGAAAUUUCAGUCAUUUCAAUCUGAACUGGAUAUACAACUUUAAAAAUACAGUCUUUGUGUAUUCAGGAAACUUAAAGGACUGUUGUUCAAACCUGCUCCAUUUAUUUUGUGCGAGAGCAUCCCCUCAGGAGGCUGGACAGAUCCCUGCCCAAAGGGCUCUCACAGUACACAGCUGUGCAGAGAUCAGAGAAGGGCAACAGCAACAGGGAUUUACCAGGCAUGAUAUCUUACAGAUGUGGAAGUCCAAACAAGAAGUCAAAUAAAAGUAAUUGGGGAAAAAUGAGUAUUGUUUAUGUUUGAAAAGACACCAAUAUCUUGAUCUUUAGGCAAUAAAUCAGCUCUUUAGCUACUGAUACAUUUUAAACCAUAAG